UUGGAGGGCAAGUCUGGUGCCAGCAGCCGCGGUAAUUCCAGCUCCAAUAGCGUAUAUUAAAGUUGUUGCAGUUAAAAAGCUCGUAGUUGAAUUUCGGGGUCAGUAGGUCGGUCGUGCCACUGGUAUGAACUGGUUUUACUGAUUCCUCCCUCUUGAAGAACUGUAAUGCCAUUAAUUUGGUGUUGCAGGGAAUCAGGACUGUUACUUUGAAAAAAUUAGAGUGUUUAAAGCAGGCUUUAGCUUGAAUACAUUAGCAUGGAAUAAUGAAAUAGGACGUUUGAUCCUAUUUUGUUGGUUUCUAGGAUUGACGUAAUGAUUAAUAGGGAUAGUUGGGGGCAUUAGUAUUCAAUUGUCAGAGGUGAAAUUCUUGGAUUUAUUGAAGACUAACUACUGCGAAAGCAUUUGCCAAGGAUGUUUUCAUUAAUCAAGAACGAAAGUUAGGGGAUCGAAGACGAUCAGGUACCGUCGUAGUCUUAACCAUAAACUAUGCCGACUAGGGAUCGGAUGAUGUUAAUUUUUUAAUGACUCAUUCGGCGCCUUACGGGAAA
rnacentral:rRNA from 1 species